rnacentral:rRNA from 1 species
GACGAACGCUGGCGGCGUGCCUAAUACAUGCAAGUUGAGCGAAUCAAUGGGAGCUUGCUCCCUGAGAUUAGCGGCGGACGGGUGAGUAACACGUGGGUAACCUGCCUGUAAGACUGGGAUAACUUCGGGAAACCGGAGCUAAUACCGGAUACGUUCUUUUCUCGCAUGAGAAGAGAUGGAAAGAUGGUUUCGGCUAUCACUUACAGAUGGACCCGCGGCGCAUUAGCUAGUUGGUGAGGUAACGGCUCACCAAGGCGACGAUGCGUAGCCGACCUGAGAGGGUGAUCGGCCACACUGGGACUGAGACACGGCCCAGACUCCUACGGGAGGCAGCAGUAGGGAAUCUUCCGCAAUGGGCGAAAGUCUGACGGAGCAACGCCGCGUGAGCGAAGAAGGCCUUCGGGUCGUAAAGCUCUGUUGUUAGGGAAGAACAAGUACAAGAGUAACUGCUUGUACCUUGACGGUACCUAACCAGAAAGCCACGGCUAACUACGUGCCAGCCGCCGCCGUAACAC